rnacentral:rRNA from 1 species
AUUGAACGCUGGCGGCAGGCUUAACACAUGCAAGUCGAGCGGAGCGAGGGUGCUUGCACCUUAGCUUAGCGGCGGACGGGUGAGUAAUGCUUAGGAAUCUGCCUAUUAGUGGGGGACAACAUUCCGAAAGGAAUGCUAAUACCGCAUACGCCCUACGGGGGAAAGCAGGGGAUCUUCGGACCUUGCGCUAAUAGAUGAGCUUCAGUCGGAUUAGCUAGUUGGUGGGGUGAAGGCCUACCAAGGCGACGAUCGGUAGCGGGUCUGAGAGGAUGAUCCGCCACACUGGGACUGAGACACGGCCCAGACUCCUACGGGAGGCAGCAGUGGGGAAUAUUGGACAAUGGGCGGAAGCCUGAUCCAGCCAUGCCGCGUGUGUGAAGAAGGCCUUUUGGUUGUAAAGCACUUUAAGCGAGGAGGAGGCUACUUAGAUUAAUACUCUGGGAUAGUGGACGUUACUCGCAGAAUAAGCACCGGCUAACUCUGUGCCAGCCGCCGCUGUAACAC